rnacentral:rRNA from 1 species
AAUGGGCGGAAGCCUGAACCAGCCAUGCCGCGUGCAGGAUGACGGCCCUACGGGUUGUAAACUGCUUUUCCCCGGGAAGAAUAAGCCCCUCGUGAGGGGUGAUGCCGGUACCGGGGGAAUAAGGAUCGGCUAACUCCGUGCCAGCAGCCGCGGUAAUACGGAGGAUCCGAGCGUUAUCCGGAUUUACUGGGUUUAAAGGGUGCGUAGGCGGGCGCCUAAGUCAGCGGUGAAAUGCAGCGGCUCAACCGUUGAACUGCCGUUGAAACUGGGCGCCUUGGAUGCGGUCGAGGCCGGCGGAAUGCGUGGUGUAGCGGUGAAAUGCUUAGAUAUCACGCAGAACUCCGAUUGCGAAGGCAGCUUACUAAGCUACAACUGACACUGAAGCACGAAAGCGUGGGGAUCAAA